rnacentral:rRNA from 1 species
UGGGGAAUAUUGCACAAUGGGCGCAAGCCUGAUGCAGCCAUGCCGCGUGUAUGAAGAAGGCCUUCGGGUUGUAAAGUACUUUCAGCGGGGAGGAAGGGAGUAAAGUUAAUACCUUUGCUCAUUGACGUUACCCGCAGAAGAAGCACCGGCUAACUUCGUGCCAGCAGCCGCGGUAAUACGGAGGGUGCAAGCGUUAAUCGGAAUUACUGGGCGUAAAGCGCACGCAGGCGGUUUGUUAAGUCAGAUGUGAAAUCCCCGGGCUCAACCUGGGAACUGCAUCUGAUACUGGCAAGCUUGAGUCUCGUAGAGGGGGGUAGAAUUCCAGGUGUAGCGGUGAAAUGCGUAGAGAUCUGGAGGAAUACCGGUGGCGAAGGCGGCCCCCUGGACGAAGACUGACGCUCAGGUGCGAAAGCGUGGGGAGCAAACAGG